UUCAUUUACUGGGAACAAAAUUCCGUGUCGUAAGUGUGUGUUUAUGGCUUGGAGCGUGGAAUUUUUGAUUGAUAGCUGAUUUUUGUUGUUUGACGGGGGUGGUGAUAAAUGGGAAAUGGGACGUCAAGUGUGGCGGCAAAAUUUGCAUUCUUCCCGCCGGACCCACCCACGUACGACGUCUACUGUGAUGAAUUGGAUGGGCGGCUAGUGAUGAGUGGUUUAACGGCGGAUAAAAAUGUGGACGUCCAUUUGUUGCAAACCAAGGACGGGAAUAAGGUUGUGGCUACGUUCUGGAAGCACCCGACAGGAAGGUUCACCAUAUUGUACUCCCAUGGAAACGCUGCAGAUUUGGGACAGAUGCAGGACCUCUUUAUCGAGCUCAGGGCCCACCUUCGUGUCAAUAUCAUGAGCCAUCUGAGUUCAACACUUACCAUGACAUCGAGGCCGUCUGUAACUGUUUGAAGAAUGAAUAUGGAAUCAAGCAAGAGGAUGUUAUUUUGUGUGGUCAAUCUGUGGGGAGUGGUCCAACGCUACACUUGGCUGCUCGCUCACCGAGGUUGAGAGCUGUUGUUCUUCAUAGUGCUAUUCUUUCAGGAAUAUGAGUUCUGUACAAUGUCAAAUUGACAUUCUGGUUCGACAUUUUUAAAAACAUCGACAAAAUACAGAAUGUAAAUUACCCCAUUUUAGUUUAUACAUGGCACAAAUGAUGAUAUUGUCAAUUGGUCCCAUGGUAAGCGAUUGUGGGAACUUUCUAAAGAGAAAUACGAUCCCUUAUGGGUCCAAGGUGGAGGACACUGCAAUCUUGAAAAUUUCCUAGAGUACAUUAAGCAUUUGCGCAAAUUUUUGAAUGCAAUGGAAAAACACUCCUUUUCAAAACGAAACAAGGCACAACUUAGUGCAGCCUCGAGUAUAACAGAAUCCAAAUACAACAAGUGUUUGAGAUUUCCAAAAAGAUGAUUGAUUCUUUCUUAUCAGUUAGAAAAAUGAUGCACCAUGGGUUGCAACUACUUACUUCAUGUGUCUAUACAGAAAGGUAUGAAUUAGAAAUUAGCUUGUGUGGUCCAUAUCCUGUUGAGUUGGCAAUUUUCUUGGUCGAGAAUGACAAAUUUCCCAUCAGGAGGCAGCAUUGUAUAUCUAUGAAAACUCAAGUUAUCAUCUUACAUUUUAGAAUCAUGCAUGCUAGGAAUGUCAACAUUUAUUAUAGGGCAUGACGAUUGCCUGUAGAAACCAUUGUCUAUGUCCAUUUUCUUUAAUUAUUAUUCAUUUUUCUUCUGUGAGAAAAUGAUAAAAUUUAUCUGCACAAAUCAGUGUAAACUAAGUAUAAAA